UACGUAGGGUGCGAGCGUUGUCCGGAAUUAUUGGGCGUAAAGAGCUCGUAGGCGGUGUGUCGCGUCGGCCGUGAAAACCUGCAGCUUAACUGUGGGCUUGCGGUCGAUACGGGCAUCACUGGAGUUCGGCAGGGGAGACUGGAAUUCCUGGUGUAGCGGUGAAAUGCGCAGAUAUCAGGAGGAACACCGGUGGCGAAGGCGGGUCUCUGGGCCGAUACUGACGCUCAUGUGCGAAAGCGUGGGGAGCAAACAGG
rnacentral:rRNA from 1 species